rnacentral:misc_RNA from 1 species
AACUUUUGGCAAUGGAUCACUUGGCUCUCGCAUCGAUGAAGAACGCAGUGAAAUGCGAUAAGUAAUGUGAAUUGCAGAAUCUCGUGAAUCAUCGAAUCUUUGAACGCACAUUGCGCCCUAUGGAAUUCUGUAGGGCAUGCCUGUCUGAGCGUCAGCAGCAAAACAAUCAAAAUCUUUGUAGGUAAAGAUUUGGAUUUGGUUAAGAGAUGUAAUCUGUAAAGAACCGGUUACUCUUUUGAAAUUUAAAGGCAGUAUUGAUCAAUCCAACUGUAAACGUGAUAAAACAUUUCGUUUUAUUGUUAGGAAUGAGCUUUUUGCUUGCCUAUAAACCCACUCAUCUUCAUGGGUGACCUCAGAUCAGGUAGGGAUACCCGCUGAACUUAAGCAUAUCAAUAAGCGGAGGCU